CAAAACCCCAACAAUAUGUGCCAGGCACUUGAUAACAAAGCUUCUAAGAAAGUUUGGUCAAAAUCCGUUGAGAAAUGUAGGAGGAGUUGCGCACAGAAGAAAUUGUUCACUAUAUAUUCUAUAUAAGGAAAAAAAACAAAUGGCCAUAAUUAGGUCAAAUAUUAUCUAAUCGCAAAACCCCGACAAUAUGCGCCAGGGCACUUGAUGACAAAGCUUCUGUGAAAGUUUGGUCAAAAUCCGUUGAGAAAUGUAGGAGGAGUUGAGCACAGAAGAAAUUGUUCACUAUAUAUUCUAUAUAAGGAAAAAAAACAAAUGGCCAUAAUUAGGUCAAAUAUAUACCAAUCGCAAAACCCUGGCAAUAUGUGUCAGGGCACUUGAUGACAAAGCUUCUGAGAAAGUUUGGUCAAAAUCCGUUGAGAAAUGUAGGAGGAGUUGCGCACAGAAGAAAUUGUUCACUAUAUAUUUUAUAUAAGGAAAAAAAAACAAAGGGCCAUAAUUAGGUCAAAUAUUAUCUAAUCGCAAAACCCCGACAAUAUGCGCCAGGGCACUUGAUGACAAAGCUUCUGUGAAAGUUUGGUCAAAAUCCGUUGAGAAA